GACGAACGCUGGCGGCGUGCUUAACACAUGCAAGUCGAACGGAAAGGCUCCAGCUUGCUGGAGUCCUCGAGUGGCGAACGGGUGAGUAACACGUGGGUGAUCUGCCCUGCACUUCGGGAUAAGCCUGGGAAACUGGGUCUAAUACCGGAUAGGACCGCACUUUGGUGUGUGUGGUGGAAAGGUUUUUCUGGUGUGGGAUGAGCUCGCGGCCUAUCAGUUUGUUGGUGGGGUAAUGGCGUACCAAGACGUCGACGGGUAGCCGGCCUGAGAGGGUGGACGGUGGGAAUGGGUGGGGGAUUCGGCCCAGGCUGCGACGGGAGGCAGCGGUGGGGAAUAUUGAUCAAUGGGGGAAACCCUGAGUGAGCGACGCCGGGUGGGGGAUGAAGGGCUUGGGGUUGUAGACUGCUUGCGCGAGGGACGAAGCUGUUUGUGACGGUACCUGGAGAAGAAGCACCGGCUAACUACGUG
rnacentral:rRNA from 1 species